GACGAACCGUGCGAACGUUGUUCGGAAUCACUGGGCUUAAAGGGCGCGUAGGCGGGCUGCCGAGUCCGGGGUGAAAUCCUGCGGCUUAACCGCGGAACUGCCCCGGAUACUGGCGGCCUCGAGUGGGGUAGGGGCGUGCGGAACUCUGGGUGGAGCGGUGAAAUGCGUUGAUAUCCAGAGGAACUCCGGUGGCGAAGGCGGCACGCUGGACCCCGUCUGACGCUGAGGCGCGAAAGCCAGGGGAGCGAAC
rnacentral:rRNA from 1 species